ensembl:lncRNA
AUCAGGGAUUCCUGAGCCUGUAUUUGAACUUGAAAAGUCAUGAGAGAGUCCUCUGAAUAAGACAAAGGGAGACUCUUUGGGGGAAACAGCUAUAAGACAGCAGCCAGUAGCCACCAGGGACUAACUGUGCAGAGAGAGGAGACCCCCAAAGGGCUGGCCUUAUUUCUGAAAUAUUUUGGAAAUGUUUACCUUCAGAGUCUUUGGAUCACAAUGCUGCUGAGAAUUGUGCUGCUGUCUGGUUUAUCUUUGUUCCUCCAGAAUGAAUGGGACCGAAGUGUCCUGCCUGUCACCAAGUUACUCCAAAGCAGUGCUUCUCCAUGGGGGACAGUUUUGUCCUCCAAGGGCCAUUUGACAAUGUCUGGAGACAUUUUUGGUUGUCACAUCUGAGGGGAGUGCUAUUGGAAUCUGGUGGGUAGAGAGAGGCCAGUAAUGCUGCUAAAUGUGCUACAAUGCAUGGGACAGCCCCUCACCACAAAGAAUUAUCUGGUCCAAAAUGUCAAUAGUGUCAAGGUUGAGAAAUCCUGCUCCAAGGUAUCCUCGGAAGAAUUCAGAUGGGAAUCUAGCCUCAGUCAUCUAGAAAAGAUCUGUUGUUCUUCUCUUUCUUCUCCCCAGAUUCUAUCUACAGAAGCUCUUCAAUCUCAGGGCUAAGAAAGCGGGCUCCAGCCUCCACAUGCCUGGUUGUUGAGUCUUCCUGGAUCCAGUCUCUGGCAACCUCAGAGAAGGAAAGUUUUUGCUGGAAAUGACAGUGUGGAAAGGUGGGGAGGAACGAGUUCUUGUCUGAUGGCUGCCAACAGGAGAAGGCUGAAAUGGGCAGGCUUGCACAGCCAAUGCCUACUACUAUUUGGACAAAAGAUGUCAACUAAUAUCCAUUAUCUAGAGAUGAGUGCCCCAAACAGUGAGUAGUUGCACUUGAAUUGUGGUGGAUCUGAAUUUGCCACCCCGAAAUGUGUCUCUUUGGCUUGAGUAUUUUUAGGAACAAAAGACUCUGAAAGAAACUCUGACCUUCCCCCUAACUGCCUAAAAAAAUUUAAGGUAAAAGGUCUGUCCCCAGGACAGGCUAUCACCGUAGAUAACUCUGGCUAUUGGUAGACUAGGAGGAUCCUUGCUAAAACCAUUUUUAUCAAAGUUCUCUCUCGGGUCACACUGUCUACAGAUGGCCCAGCAAACAUUUGUUUAUCCAACAUUUGCUUUUCCAUCUCCAUGUGAAUUGCUUUCCUCCCCUUUGAAGUCCCAAACCACUACCCUCAACAUCCUGCUUUGUCUUUAGCUGGAGAUGGUAUUUAAGGUAAUGGCUUUUGCCAUUUCACCAAGCUACCCAGUUUUCCUGAGUUUCUCUGGUGUAUGCAUGCAAUCAAACUUUGUUUCAUUUUCUCCUGUUAUUCUGUCUCAUGUCAAUUUAAUUCUCAGACCAGCCAGUGGGACCUAGAGGGUACAGGAAUAGUUCUUCCUCCCCUACAGAAUCAAGUCAGAUUGAGUCAGAGUUCAAGUGGAGUGAGACAGUAGAGGAGAGUCUAGAGGGUUGAUGUUGAGGAAAUGGAUCAGUGGGAUCAAUGGAGUGGGUCAAGUGUAGUGAGAAGGUGACAUUCUGAGCAAGGAUGGAGUCAGCUGAGGAGGCGCUAUCCAGCCGGAAAGAAGACUCUGGCUGGGGAACAGGGUCCAAUAUCUGAGGGUGCUCUGGGGACAGGGAAAAAGCAAGUGAUGGGGGUUAAAGUGGUUCAUUAAGAAUUUAGGAUUCAGACCAGCCCUGGUGGCCUAGUGGUUAAAUUAGGUGUGCUCCACUUUGGCAGCCCAGACCUGGGUGUGGACCCACACCACUCGUCUGUCAGUGGCCGUGCUGUGGUGGAAGCUCACAUACAAAAACGAAGAAGAUUGACGAUGGAUGUUAGCUCAGGGCAAAUCUUCCUCAGCAAAAAAGAAUUUGGGAUUCAGGGGCCCAAAUGGCUCAUAUGUCAAAAAAAGUGCUGAAAUAUUGUGAUUUAUGAGAAGAAAUAUAUAUAUUUGACCACUCAGAUGAUCAAAAUAUAUUUCUCAUAAAUAUUUGGUCUUCAUCAGUAGUUCCUAGUUCACAGGUCCCAAAUUCCUUGGAAUUUCCUGAGCAAUAAGAGCAAUGAGACCACCUUUUGUUAUAAUAUUUCAUCUCUUGUCCUCAGUCCCUAAACAUGUUUCAGAGCCAUAAAGGUGAAAUGGGUGUCUUGUUCAUCACAAGCCCCUUUCCACCACAACAGGGCUUAUGUUAAUGGGGUGACUUUUGGAGAGCUCCUAAGGAUGAGGGCUGCUUGCAGGGGGAACCAAUAAUUAAUGGAAGGCUGGAGCUUUCAGUCCCACUCCCUGAUGUCUGGGGAGAGGAGAGGGAAUGACUGGAGGUUGAAUCAAUCACCAAAGGCCAACAAUUUAAUCAACCAUGCCUAUGGAAUGAAGCCUCCAUAAAUAUCCAAAAGGAGGGGGUUUGGAGAGAUCCCACUCCCAGGCUGGGGAACCAGAAUGCUUCCAUGAGCCACUGUGCUGGGCCCCAAGCUCCACGAGGACAGAAGCUCUUUUGUUCAGGACCUCGCCCUAUGAAGCUCUUUAUCUGGCUAUUGAUUCAUAUCCUUUAAUAUCCUUUGUAAUAAAUUGGUAAUCUAGUGAAUAAAUGAGUUUUCCUGAGUUCUGUGAGCUGUUCUAGCAAUUUUAUCGAACCUAAGGAGGGGGUCAUGGGAACCUGUGAUUUACAGCCAAUCAGUCAGAAGUACAGGUUAAUAAUCUGGACUUGCUAUUAGUAUCCUGAGUUGGAGGGGGUUCGCUGGAGCCUCCAAUCUGUAGCCGGUGGGUCAGAAACACAGGUAACAACUUGGAAUUGCGAUUGACGUCUGGAGAGGAGGGAGGUCUUGUGGGACUGAGCCCUUUACCUGCGGCACCCGACUCUAUGUCCAAGUAAGCGUGUCAGAAUUGAGUUGAAUUCUUGAACACCUCGCUAGUGUCCGAGACUGCUUGUUGCUGGAUGUAGGGAAACCUCCACACCCCCACACAGACACGUGCACACAUUGGAAUUGGGUCCAGGAACACUAUUUUGGUGCCUAUUGGUGAGCAGGAAAUAAAGGUAAGAGAGGGGUGGGAGGGUGUGGUGGCCAAAGGAUUCAGAGAGAAUCCCAGAGGUGAUAGGAAAUUAGGGGCAUCUUGGGGUAGAUAUGGUCGAAGGACAGAGAGGACCUUGGUGAUAAAGCUGGGAAAACUGAUGGUGGAAAUGAAAGAAGGAUAAAUGAGCAACAGGAGGGCCCAGUGGCAAGGAAGGCUCUGAAGGCAAGGUUGAUAAGACUGUUCGUGGGCGUGAAUAAAAGGAGUGUGGGAAUUUGGGGGCCAAUAACAAGUGGCUGCUGAUUGCAGAGAGAAGGCCAAUAAUGAGGUGAAUGGAGUGAUGUGAUGAUGAGACUCAUUCAGAAGUCAGGGUCCCAUAAGAAGUGGGAUAAAGAGGGAGAAUAAGUCAGACAUGAGACAGGUCCAGUGAGCGACGAUGGGCCUGCACAGCUACUCCAGAGAGACAUAGGCAGAGAGGUUGAUAAUUGGGCUGAUAAACAGGGUUAUAGAAGGUACAUACAGAGGGGCUGGUAAUUGGUCUCCAAGAGAGUCUGGUGAGUGGAUGGAGGCCAGAGUUAGAGAUGACUCAGUCAGAGGAGAUGUGGAAGCCAAAGGGGACAGAAAGGGAGCAACAUCUUCCAGAGGCUCCCCAAACAGCAGGUCAUCUUCCUCAAUUGCCGUUUCACACACUUCACAGCAGAGAUCUUUGUUGCAACAGUUACCGAAAGCUGCCCUUAUCAGGGAUCCAAGUUGUAGCCAGGAGCAGAACACAGACUCAACAUUCUUCUCCUUCACAUUCCCCUGUAUCUCUGACUCACAGUACUCCUUUUAUCCCUCACUACAGUGCUUUUGUUCACACUCCCUUCUCCGCGGCUUUCCACGUCAACUCCAGGCUGCCUGGAGGCCCUGGAGUGGCAUUGGCCAUGCUAAGAAGAAUGAUACAGGAAAGAAGGAGAAGAGAUCCAUUGUCAUUUCAGAAGAGAAAGUAGGUCCCAUGCAAACUCAACUUCUUUCAGAACUGAUUGACACAUCAAUUGUGAAAAUUAUGGAAACUGUAGUUAAAGACGAAGAAAAUAAAAAUCAAAACAAAUGCCGUCACCUAAUGAUAACAACUGUUAAUGUUUUGUUGUGCAUCCUUUUGUUUCUCCAUCCCUCUUUAAACAUUUUUCAAAACAAAAAUGUGAUCAUAGGGUACGUACUAAUUUUAUAAUUAUCUUUUUUCACUUAAUAAUCAUAAUCAUUUCUGUCAUUUACAUUUUUCUCUGAUACAUUUCUCUAAUAAUUUUGAUGACCACAUAUUAUUCCAUUAUAUGUAUAAAUCAUAAUUUUUAACUGGAUGAAUACCAAGCAUGUUCAUACUUAAACAUUUGAUUUUGAAUAUAAGUUUCUAUCACUAUUGCUUAUAAUCCAUUUCUUUAAUUAUUUUUUCCAUUUACUUACUAAUCAUGUCUUUCUUUCUAUGAGUUGUACUCAGAGUUGGGAAAAUUUCAUGUGUUACUUCUGAUGUGGAUUUUCUUGUGUGUAAGGGAUAUUAGCUCUCUGUGUAUUAAACAUAUUGAAAGAUUUCCUCCCAAUUUUCUUUUAAUCUUGUUUAAACUGUCUUUUGGUAAUAAAGAAGGUUUCAGUUUUUAGUCCAUCUGUAGACUAUUUCCUUUAUCUUGUAUAUGUAUUGCAAUAGUACUUAAAAAUGCUUUCUCUACCACAAAAAUAAUAAAAAUGUUCUCCUAUAUGUUCUUUUAUAAACAUAAUCCAGUUAUAAUGAUAAUCUGUCUGAAAGUCAUGUUUGUAUACUGCAUGAGACAGAGAUUUGAUCUUGCCCCCACUUGGAUAGCCCAUUGUAUCAACAUUGUUCACUGAAUAGCCAGUAUUUUCCUCACUCACUUGAAAUGUACCAUUGUAAUAUACUGCAUCUUCAAAUAUACGUGGGUUUAUUUGGGUAUUCUCUAUUUUAUUCUCCAGAGAUAUUUGUCGAUUUCCAAGAUGGUACCAUACAAUUUUAAUAUUUAUAGUCUUAUAGUUUUGAUUCAAUAAAGCAAUCCCCUCUGUCUGCUCUUUUUCCCAAAUCUGUUCUUUUAAAUCAGUGGUUCUCAAGGAGGCAAUUUUGCCUUCCGGGGAACAUUUGGCACUGUCUAGAGCAUUUUUAUUGUCACAACUGGGAGGGCGGGGCUACUGGUAUUUGUUGGGUAGAGACCAGGGGUGCUGCUAAAAUCCUACAGUAUACAGGACAGACUCCUACAACAAAGAAUUGCCUGGUCCAAAAUGUCAAUAGCAGAAAGACUGAGAAACUCUGUUGUAGAUUAACUUUAUUAUCAAUUUGUCAAGAUCCAAAA